UCCAAUGCUGCUUUGUCUAGAAUUUAGAAUCAAGAGUGAAGUCAGGAAAGCGCCUCAAGUGAACAGCAUCCAUUAUCUGCAUCCACUUCCGGUUUAGGGGUCUCUGUCUCUCUCUCUCUUGCUCUCUGUCCUUCCCUCUCUGUCCCUCUCCUCCUCCCUCUCUCCCUUCUCUCCCCCUCCCUUUCCUCCUCCUUUCUUCCCGUCCCUCUCCCCUCUCCCCUCCAAGCCAGAAGUGACCUCACCAUCAGAGGCCCGUUCUUUAAGAGGUCUUAACCUGGACACUGGUUCCAGGCUGUCCAGAGUUCUUCUGUAGAGCGGGUUCAGUUGCUGCUUCUGGAUGAACCAGGAUGAACUGAAAGCACUUGAAAGGAGGAAGGAAGAAGGGAGGAAGAGAGAAACUAAGGUCUGGCUAUUUUCUCCACACAGAGAAGAUCUCAGCUCUGACUCUCCCGACUCAGGUGCACAGUAGACACCAGUGGUUGAUGGCCACCGCGUGGACACUGGGUUCUAGAAAGUGGCCACUGCAUGGACAUCAUGUUCUAGACACCUCAGGUGAAGCUGGUGGGGCGAAGGUUCAGCAUCAAAAGGAGAACAUCAUGAUUUUCACAAGUGGUCCCUUGUUUUCACACUAACAGAGUAAAAAUUGGAAUCAAAUCAGGAAAGGGAAGACCUCAAGCACAGUUUCAAAUUCCUUGGAGAAUCAGAAGAAGCCAGAAUCACUGACAUCUGCUGAGCUGUGAUCAUUGUUAACUGCGUGAGCUGGACAAAGUUAGCUGGGGUGCUGAGAGCCACUGCUGCCCCGAGGAACCAAGAACAUGGUUGUCUGGGUGAGCUCACACUACUGUUACUUGGGGGAAUGGAUACGACUGUCACCUGGAGGAGCUGAGAACCACUGUUACCUGUGGAGAGGGGGAGGGUAAGAACAUUGGUACCUGGGCAGGAGGUGAGAACAGUGGUACCUGGUGAGCCAGUAAAACUGUUUGGGUGAGUGGAUGCUACUGUUACUUAGGAAAGUGAUACAACUUUAAUCUGGGUCAUCUGAGAACCAGUUACCUGAGUGAGCUGAGAUAUUGUUACUUGGAGGAGCUAAAGCCACUGUUGCCUUGAACAGUUAAGAACCACUCCUGUCUUGGAGGGGGUUACCACCGUUAUCCCAGUCAGAUGAGACUAUUGUCGCCUGGAAGCCUGAGGAGCACUUUUACCUGAGCAGUGGAGACCACUGUUAACAGUGCUGAGGUCACUGUUAGCCAGUGAACAGAGAACAGUGUUACAUGUAGGGGUCACUCAGUUAUCUGAGUAAGCUGAGAUAUUGUUACUUGGAGGAGUCCUGGCCACUGUUACCCGUAUGUGCUGAGGACCAUCAUUACCUGUCUGAGAUGAGAACCAUAGCUGACCCUCUGGGAAGUGAGACCUCCAUUACUUGGGUGAGUUAAGAACCAUGUUAACUGGGUGAACAGAACUGUGUUACACAAAGAGCUUGAUAACCAUGUUACCUGGUUGGGGGGGGGGUGCUGAGACAUCCAUUGUCUGGGGGAGCUGGGAGACUUCCAUUAUCAUUUCAAUGGUGAUCUGAGGUCAUUAUUACCUUGUGAUGCUGAGACCACUGUUAGCUGGGGGAGUUGAAAAUGGUGUUAUAUGGAAGAGCUGAGACCACUGUUAUCUGGAGGAGUUGUGAUCAUUGUUACAGGGUGAACUGAGACCAUCUGAUACCUAAGCAAGAGAAACAGUUACUUACCAUGGUGAGCAAAGAUAGCCUUUAUCUCGGAGAGCUGGGAACCAUUGUACACAGAGAUCAGAGA